rnacentral:rRNA from 1 species
UACAGAGGGUGCGAGCGUUGUUCGGAAUUAUUGGGCGUAAAGCGCAUGUAGGCGGGGGGAUAAGUCGCGUGUGAAAGCCUCGGGCUCAACUCGAGAAGUGCGCGCGAAACUGUCCCUCUUGAGUGCCGGAGAGGGUGGCGGAAUUCCCGGUGUAGAGGUGAAAUUCGUAGAUAUCGGGAGGAACACCAGAGGCGAAGGCGGCCACCUGGACGGACACUGACGCUGAGACGCGAAAGCGUGGGGAGCAAACAGG